rfam:Aedes aegypti strain Liverpool supercont1.492 genomic scaffold, whole genome shotgun sequence.
GGCUCAGUAGCUUAGCUGGUAAAGCGCUUGUCUAGCACACAAGAGUCCUGGUUUCGAAUACCAGCCGAGCAC